AAGUUCAGCGAAGGAUCUUACGUAAGAGUUGAUGAGUUUUGAGUGAGCUCUUGGUGGUUUGUAGAAGUACACGCUGGACGAUGGAAAGGUCAGCACAAACCAUAGGCAAGAGCCCAAGUCACUGCAAGCAGGGCAAAAGCGAGGCAAAAAGGUAAGGCAAAAAGCCUGUCAUUGGGUUAUAAGCGUUUCCAUCUGACCCGUCCUUCUUAGUGCGACAGCCAAUCAGAUAUUGUCUUGGACGAGGCCUACGCCCCGUUCUCCGGUUCUUGCAUGUAAUUAGCGUAAUGUCCACGUGAUCGCGUGUGAUUUAGUCAUGAUAAGUGUUUAAAACACAAAAUUACUUGAGUAAUAUAAAGCAUGCAUAAUACAGAGAAUACGCAUGAGGCAACUUCUGGUGAUUAGUUUCUAUAACUGAGGUAGAAAACCCUACGAAUAGGCUGUA